GUUGAUUCGUUCGUCCGCCCCCGUCAAUCCGCUCCCUUUCGUUCGUCCGCCCCCGUCGCUCCGCUCCGCGCGCGAUUUUUCGCCCCUCCCCGCCCAGUGCCCGACGGUUCCUCCCCGGUUCCGCGCUCAAGCGGCCACGCCUCUUACCCCCCACCUCCCCCAGGCAGUUCCACCUCGACGCCGCCCUCACGCCACCUCCGCCCGCUCUCUCUCGCGCACGCGCAACACGCCUCCGCCGCCGCUGCUCGCCCACCGGAGUCCGAUUCACCACCUCCGGGGCGCGACACGCCGCCGCCGCUGCUCACCCACAGGAGGCCGAUUCACCACCAAUCGCGGAGCAGCUCCGAAGCUGAAUCGCCACCACGAAGCUGCUCCGAAGCCGGCCACCGCCGACCGGAUCCCGGCCAAAUCCGGCCCUCUCCGCCAUAGGUGAGUACACCCCUAAGUUUCCCUCCCUCUCCAAUCCCUUUCCCCCUCCUUUCUGGCGUCCCAAUCCCCACCCCUCCGCGCGUCGUCCUUCAAGCCACCGCGCCUCCUCUCCACUCGCCCUCCUCGCGGCCGGGACGCUGCCGCCGCGCUGCCACCUCUCCCCGCGUCCUCCUUCCAGGAUCGACUCCUUCGGGGGGGGGGGUGCAGGAGGGAGGGCCAGGCCGUCAAGGAGUACGACGAGAUUGAAUGUUUCAAGCAGUGUGGCUGGGCGGAAGAACCUGAACCCAUCCUCUGCAACACUACAAGGCAUCAGAUUGGAAGUCAGCGAUCCCGGCAUUGUGACAGCGUAACAGCAGUACAAAUAAAUUUUUGUGAGGUCAUUUGAGCCUACCACUCCAAUAUGCCACUGAUACAAGAUGAGGCCUUUGAAAUUGCCUGCAUUCAUCUCCUGUUCGUCAGAAACAACAGUACAAGAUGUUUCUGAUGCUGAAUAUUGGUUUUCAGGAAACAGUAUGUUGCUUGGGAGUGCAUAAGGAACAUAUGAAGUGACUAGCAGAUCCUACAGCAGCACUGUGGUACCCAACAUCGAAGGAACUGAGCAUCGGCAGUUUCAAGAUCAAGGUGUUCGACCUUGUCAAGGACCAGAUCACCCACCCGCGCUUAGGACUCCUGCACCAAGGUUGCCGCUUCUUACUCCUGGUUUCCUACUACUUGGGUCAUUGCACUGUGAAGUUUAAAGGUGUGCGCUUGGUGAAGAGGUGGAGCGGACAGGCCAGAAUCUAGGACCUGAGCAUUGCCCAUUGUUGUCAUCCGAGUGCAGGGCUCCAAAGAAAAGGCCACGUGUAUAGAUAAUUGGUGAAAUUCUGAAAAUCGUACUAGGUAUUCUACGGGCUACCUGGUUUUGCAGGACAUGUCUACAUGGAAAAAUACGCAAAACACAGAGAUUUGUAAGGAUGCCCGCACUAUGCGAGAGAACUUCAUCAUCGAUGUGUUGGUAUCGGAUUUAAAUGCAGAAACUGCUACCUGCGAAUGUUAAAGAUUAUCUUAGCCGCAUCACAGAUAAAAAUAUAAAAUAGAAUAUAGUGUCCAAUUGGUUGAAUAUUUAGUGGAAAAAUUUACCUGGAAAUGAAAGAUUGAUCCUUUUAAUGGUGAAAAUUUUUAUCAAAGUUGUUGAUGUUCAGUGAACCGAAGUGAAGGUAUGCUUGUCCUAUAUUUUCCAUGUUGCAAUCAUGCCAAAAUAAACUAUUACAGUUGUACUA